CCUGUCCCUGCGGCUCAUGGACUGAAGCACGAAUAAAGAGAGGCCACGAGGGGUGUCGCUAUUUUUGCCCUUAAACGCGACGGUAUACCGUGGUUCCGCAUUACGCGAUGGAACAGCCGACGAGAUAAUACCUGGGAAGGGAGUUCGACCCCGGUGUUCCACGGGUUUUAAAACGCUCCCUAUGGUGGUGAGACGGGGAAGGAAAGUUCGAGAGAGGAAACGGCACACGGACAGGGUGAAGAUGGCCUCGAAGGAAAGGGCCGAAUCGAUACCGCUAACUGUUUUAAACGCGGACAUACCUGGCUGGCUGACUUCACGUGGCUGUUUUCUAUGUCAACACAGCAAUAUUGAAGCAGGUCGUUCCCGCUGUUGCCACAUACGUCAGUCACAGCUCUACUGGUGGAUAAUUAACCCUGCGGUUUACAUUACGACACCUCUAUCGUCUCGCGUCACUCUGCCGCCGUUCUUUGCUGCCGUUUUUCAGAAACCGAGGACGCUAUGUACAGUGACGUUUGAAAUACCUUUGCUAGUGAUAUGAUUCCAUUCCGACUCUUGGUCAUGUUAAUUAAUUCGAGUUGUUGAGAAAUUAUGCCAGAACAUUUGUGUAAUUCGUUCGUUUGCUUUCGUGACAAAGCUUUUUGAUGCUUUAGAAUAUACAAGAAAUAAUCUGUCCUUAGCUACUUUUCUUGUAGAUUUGGUUUCACGUUUGGAAAUAAAGAUACUGUUGAUUUA